AUUAAAUAUCAACAAUAAAUAUUUAGUAAAACACCUUUUUUAGAAAUGAGUCAUAACACAUUCUGAUCUGUUAGGUUUUUACAAAAAAGCAAUUUUUUGGUCAGAAUAAUUACCUUUAAAAUAAUUGGGUCAGUAGGUCAACUUGUAAAACAUUGGAUCAGUAAGUCAACUUGUUAAAAUUGGGGUUGUUAGUCAGCUCAAUAUAAUUGGGUGAGUAGGUUAGGUUUUU